CUGAUUGUGCAUUUUCUUUAUAUGCUACGUCACAUCAGAUGUGAGUUCCUGAUGAGUCAUGAUCAUAAUUUUCAAUCUGAUAUCACCAAUUGGUCCUACUCCUAUCCACUUCUCAACUAGAGCUGGUGCAAUCCCAUGAAUCCUAACUUCUUCAUGCCAAAAUUCGUGCCAACCUAAUUGUGAGUCACAUUGGUACAUACAAGCUUCAUAGACCAGCAUGUCAACAACGAUUACAAGCACAGCAAUGUUUUGGAAAACUAAACAUGUCCACUGGAUUAUUUAUUCUUUCUCCAUCCCAAACUUUAUAUGUUUACCAGUAGUUGCUCAAGUUAGACAGCUUACAAAGAGGCAAUAGUAGCCAUAGUCAGUUAUUAAUCCUAUAGGCUUUGGGAAUAAGUGCCGCCGAAGAAUAGGCAGCUAUUGGCUCCGCUCUAAGCCUAGGGACUCAUCUUCAUUUAGUUUAUUAUUCAAUGUCCCCCAGUCCCUACUUGUAUAGGUACAGCCCAAAAGCUUCUUUCAUAUUGAAGAAAUCACUAGGCAGUCGACUAAAAGAAGCAGACCGCUAGCGUGAAAGACGGCAGCCUCUCAAGGAAAGAUAGCCCAAUUUCUCUUCUUUCUUUUUGAUUUUUGCUACUUUAGUGCGUAUGAAAUUAUUUAUCAAAAUAAAAAAUAAUCCUCCUCUUGAAGUCAUUUACCAAGCCCAAACCAUGCUCAUGGGAGAAAAAAUAUUUUAUGUCUUUUAGAACUAAUGUAGUAGCAAUUGAGCUGCAACUUCGAGAUAGAAAUCAAACAAAUGUUACUUGGUAAUUGCAGCACAAUAGUAUCUCAACUUUCCAGCAAAACAUUUGAAUGUAGUCGAAAAAAUUACACCUUAAAUUCAGUCCUGAACCAAAAUUUGGAGUGUUACAAUAAAAAUCCCACAGUCAUCAACAAGAACUGAUUAGUCUUUGACUUCACCCCUAAUCCCAUGGCAUCAAUUUUAGGAUACCUCAAUCAAUGAAUGCAUUUUACCUUUUUUUACAUUUUCAAAAAGCUAAUUUCCUAAUUUCAUUUUAUAAACUCCAAUCCAAGAACAACACAAUAACUACUACGCCUCAAUCACAAACAAGUUAGGUUGGCUAUAUAAAUCCUCACUUAUCAUGAUUCUUCAUUUAAAUUAUAUCAGGCCAAUAUUAAGUAGAAUAAAAAUAACAAUAAGAGUAUCAGAAGUCCUUUAUAUUUUCUAUUAGUAUAAAAAUCUUUAAAAGGGCCAAAAGACUCUAAAAAUAUACCACCACUUAUGGGUCGUUUGGUAUGAUGGAUAAACAAAAAAAAAUCUUGGGAUAAAAAUUUAGUACUACCGUAUAAGUUGUUUGGUUACUAAUCCUGGGAUAAGUAUCCCGUGAUUAAAAAUAGUAUAGGGAUAACUUAUAAUUGUAAGAGGAUGGAAUAGUAAUCAACGAUAACUUAUCCUGGAACAAAGUAGUAAAAUUGACACGGUAACCAAUUCUAGUAUAACUUGUCUUCAAACCAAAUGAUCUCUUGAAGACAAGGAAAGGGACUGAUUCACAAAGGAGUCCGGCACCGACCCGGAUAGAUGAUGCCCUAUCGCACUCCCUUCGAUCCGCUAUCAAUCCGCUUGAUCAAACAAACGAAAGUAAUCAUACUAACUCCAAUCAAAGAACAAUAAGAUAAAUUCAAGAAUAAGACCAACUACGAACAGGAAAAAUUAAGCAAGAUGAAAAGGGAUUUACUUUAUUCAGACCUGCUAAUUUAGUGAUGCAAGCACAAAGAGAAGAAGGCCAAGAGUACAUGACAUAACCAGCAAUAUCUGCACCUACUUGGGUGUACAGCAACCCACUGUUCUUCUUUCUGAGUUCUUCAUCAAAGGACCGAGCCAAUGACUCGUGUUUAGGGAAAAUCUUCUUCUCUAUUCUCACUAUUUCGUCAACCACCUUAGCCCAAUUUGGUGAGUUUCUCUGCAGUUCAACUAUCACUCCCGUUUCCAUUUCUUCGAUUUCCUAAAGUAUCUGAUGGAUCUUUGACUCUGCGUAUAUAAUAACAAGACUCAACUCGGUCAUAAAAGAAGAUACUCCCUCAAUUCAAUUUCAGUAAAUUACAUCCAAUUACCUAAAAAUGAAUAAUUUUGAUUUUUUUUUACCUUCCUUUGAGUCGUAGUCAAAUUUUUAACGUCAACAGUCAAAAAUAUUAUUGUGGAAUAAGUAAUACUUGAUAACUUGAAAGCUCUACUCGUACUGUAACCAUUAUCAGAAACUUUUAGAGGGGUACCAAAAUGUCCUAUUUGAGCAAAUCACCCCAUUCUAUUUAGGGUUAAAAUAGCACGGGCUAAUCAGUUUUCGAAAUGAUCAUUUAAAAAUAGCAUAUGCUUGCAAAGUUAUUGAAAAAUAAUUACUAUUUUGCUACAACAGGAACCGGUCCAGCAUAAUAUAAUAAAGAUUGAGGCACCUGUAUAUGGACAUCCAGCAUAUUAUGCUGGAACUCCAACACAUGAAAAGUUCCAGUAUAAUAUACUAAAGAUUGGAGCAUCCAUGUAUGAACUUCCAUCAUAUUAUAUUGAACCGGUAUAUUAUACUAGAACUGCAGUAUAUUAUGCUGGAAUAUUUUCCGUAUUUUGAUCAGUGUUUUUGCUCAGAUUUAUCUUUACAUGAAAAGUAGCUAAAUUUCGAUUACUUUUGAAACUAUGACUAUUUUUGAAUGAUAACUUGUAAAUCUGGCUAUUUUUGAAUUUCUCCCAAUUUUAGAUGUCAAGUAUAUAGAGUCAAAAUGAGCUUUCCUUAGACCAUAUUUUUAUUAGUUUUAAAUAUUUUAAAUCAUUUAUAUUGUGACUUGGGGAUUUUAAAUGGUUUCUCAAUACAUAAAUUAUAUUUUAAGAUUUUUAUUUUUCACUUCAUCCCGGAAAAUAGUUAUGUGUGUUAGAACAUGUGCAGCUGAAACAAGCAUAUAAACUAGGCAUCAAAUACAUGUAAACUAGACAACAUAAUAAUAACGAGAUUAGAAGCACUAACCUCUUGCAGCUGAAACAAGCAUAUAAACUAGGCAUCAAAUACAUGUAAACUAGACAACAUAAUAAUAACGAGAUUAGAAGCACUAACCUCUUGAAGUAGUUGCACAAACCUUCCAAACAACAAGAAUUCAGGGCUGCAGUAUUCUGUUAUUUGCCUAGUAAAACCUUGAACGGUUUUGCUAUUGGGUGGGCAAGAACAAUACAACUAAAAGGUAAGUAAUUAGGUGAAACUAGUCUUCCUUUAAUAGACCCAAAAUUAAGUCACACUAGGGCUCAAAAACAUGUAGGAUUCUAUUUGUAGGGUCCUACUCUAACUCAAAAGGAUAACUUUUCUCUCAAGCUACUUUUUACUCAAGUCUGUCCAGAUUUUUUCUAGGUAUAGCAGGGACCACAGAAAUAAUAAGAGGCUACUAAUUAUAGUAAUAAUUCGAAAUUAGCAUGAAUUUAUUCUUACUAUGAUUAAUUGUAAUUUAUUCCACUAAAAAACUACAAUUGAACUCCUCAGUAUGAAUUUCAAAAAUUCAAAUUUCUUAAAUUAAAAACUUCUCUUUUUAUUUCCUUAUUGUUUGUUUUUUCCCUUUUGUAUUUUUUGUAUCAAUUUUCUGAUUUUAUAUAAAGAUGCAAAAAUAAAAAUAGAAACUAAACUAAAACUAAUUAAUGCCUAAAAUUACUUGAAAAGCUAAUUCGCAACAAUUUCGCAAUUAAAACAAUAAAAUGCGAAAGCGAACUAUUUUUGUGAUUUUCAUGUUUUGUUCUAAAACAAAUUAACCCCUAAUUAAUCCUAAAAAUAUGACAUUAAAUCCUAAAUGCAUUUUUUUUUGUAUUUUUAUAUUAACACGCACAAAUAAAAUGCAAACAAUUAACAGAUAAUAGCACCAAAAUUCACAAAAAUUGUAAAAAUAAGGAAAAACCUUUUUUUGUUUGAAUUUUUGGGAAUAAUUCAUAUAUAGGGCAAAAAUCACAUGCUCACAUGGGCUUCGUGCCAACUAUUUGAACCCUCAGGGAAGUUUUAUCACUAUUUUCUCACUGUUUUGACUAACUACUUGAACUCAGUCAUACCAUAUUUCAGUAUUUUACAACUCAACCACUUUUACUUGGUUUUGAAACUAAAAUGAUAUAUACUAAAUGAUGUUUUAGGCUGAGAACUACUGUAUUAUUAAUUCCCGGGGGGCUUAUAUGAUUUCUGGACUGAGCAUGGCCAAGGUCCAGUUGUGAGGAUACAAUGGGAUCAGGCUGUGCAUCGCCGCAGUGUUAUACUGAUAUCUAUAUGAGGCCGAGGGCCUAGAUUUGAUUUCACGAGAUGGCUUGAUAUUACGCUUGGGCCGUAAGAGGCCCCUCCCGGAGUCUGCACACCCCCAAUGAGCGGCAUCGACGAUAAAUAUAUGGAUUGGACUGCAUGUCAUAGCGGGUACUAUAGGGUACCAUUCUAUAUGUUGAUUUUCUUUUACUGUUUAUCAUUUAACUGCUUACUUGCUAUAUAAUUAUCAUAUUUUGUUUUUAUUGGUUUAUUUCUUUUAUUACUCGUUUUAAACUGCCGCAUCAUAUAUUUAAUUUAUGUUUCUCCAUGAUUUCUUAUUCUCAGUAAUUUUUUGUGCUUAUUACUCACUGGGUCGAAGUACUCAUAUUACUCCAUGUAUCUUGCGUGCAUAUCCAGGGGCAUCAGAGGCUGAGUGGGGAUUUUCAGUCGAACAGAUCAUAUUUUGGAGCAUCGAGGUUGUUGCACGGCGUCAGCAGCCCUGAUCUCUCCCUUCUAUCCUUUAUUUUAUCAGUAUUCCUAGACUGAGUAUGUAUUAGGUUGUUAAACUUGUAUUAGAGGCUCGAGACUUGUGACACCGGAUCUGUAUGGGCUAUGUAGUAGUAUUAUCAUUUGAAUUUCCGCAUAUAUAACUCUUGUUCCAGAUUUUUAUUAUGGUAAUUUGGGAUUUUAACUAUGUUAGCUAAUAAUGAACUUUAUUAGAAAAUGGGUGAGGUUAUUAGUUGGUCAGGCUUGCCUAGCAGUGUGUUGGUGCCAUCACACCGAAGUUGGGGUCGCGAUACCUGAUAACAUUAGAAUCGAAUGUAAUGUUUGCGCAUAUUAUUUUUAGCUUGCUUAUAAAAUAUUAGAUUGUAAUUUAACGCUUGUAAUAGCUUACAAAUUUUUUAGAUCGUAAUCUAAAGUUUUCUCAUAAGAGAAUAAUUCAUUACAUUGAGAGGUAAAAAAUUCUGGAUCGUUGUCUAAUCUUAGUGUUUUUAUAGUGAUAUCAAACUAAUUUCUUAUCAUUGCCUAAAAAUCUUUAAGGACAAUUGAGACAUCACACUUAGACUGAAUCAGACAUACCUAAGUGAACCUACUGUAUCAUCAGCUAUAAUUACAAAAUACUACUUUUUAUCAAAUGUGGGCUUUCUAUAUGGCCCCCAAAAAUCAAAACGUGUUAGCUGAAAAACAGUAUUUGACUUACUUCUACAAAUAGGAAAGCAUAACCUGACUUGUUUUACCAUUGAUCAUACUAGAAAAUAUUCCUGCACUAUUUUAUUGGCUUUAUUCUUUAGAGUAGGUAUGUGUUGCAUUGCAACUGCUGAUGGAUGACCUAGUCUUAAGUGCCAUAGUUCUGCUCAUUUUUCAUCAUUCCUUGUUAUUGCUACACCUACAAUUUGGCUUUCACCCUCUUUGUAGAAUUGAGAACCCAUUGUUUUCUCUACUAAUCCUUAUUAAUUUACCAUUGUAGAGUCCCUAAAACACGCAGAAAUUAAGGAAAAGGUGACUGGACAUAUAAUACAUUUGUGAUUUUUUUACUUCCUAAGAUCACUCUACUGAAUGCACUUGCUAUGGAUAAUUUAUUUCUUGUUGUGUUGGCCAAAAUUUCAGUUGGAGUUUUGAAGAUUGACCAAUGAACCCAUGAAAGGACCUGGUCCAUCUUGUGCUACACAGUCUGAAUUAACCAUGGCACAUGUGAAGCACGUGAGGAAGAUAUGCACUAAAGAUCACAUAUCAAUAUCUUUUGAAUGUAAUCUAAAAGGUUGCAUUUGGGAUAAAGAGGACAGUCUCCUUAUGUGAAGAGAACUUGAUCCUAGUUAGGAUAAGAGUUAGAGUUUGUAUUGGCUAAGGACUUAAAUAGACUACAGAUAAGAAGUGGAGUUAUAAUCAAACUCUAACUACUAACUCAAUAUAUUAUUGUGUUGGUUCUCUUUUACAGGUAACACUCACAAGCAGAAGUAAAGAUAUUUGAGAGCAAAUAAAGCGAGUCUGUUUUUUGAACUAUAUAUGCAAGAUACAAGUGUAUACGCCGUGUAAUACACACAAGCAUAAGUAAAGCAUAUUUGAGAGCAAAUAAAGCGAGCCUGUUUUGUGAGCUUUAUAACCUUGUGUCAUCAAGUUAGAGUUAACUUGAUAGUAUCGCAACAGUUGAGGCUGUGUGCCAUACUGGGAUUAGAUUUUAAUCCUUAGGUUUACAAAGAGUCUUUGUAAAUGCUGUUUUGGCUCAUUGAUUUUAGUGGAGUUUGGGAAAAUCCUACUAAGUAGUAGGUCGUGNNNNNNNNNNNNNNNNNNNNNNNNNNNNNNNNNNNNNNNNNNNNNNNNNNNNUUGGAUCAUUGAUUUUAGUGGAGUUUGGGAAAAUCCUACUGAAUAGUAAGUCGUGGUUUUUUAACCUUUUGAGCCAGGUGUUUUCCACAUAAAAAUAUCUAUGCACUUUACUUUAAGUUCUUAUUAUUCCGCAAACUGUUGUAGUUAGAACACUUAGAAGAACUAAGUUCUUCUAACGCGAAAAUUAGGUACCACACAAAUCACCCCUCCCCCCUCUUGUGUGGUAUUGACGUUCAUUAACAUCAAUUGGUAUCAGAGCAGGUUAUCAUUGAAGUGGUUAACACCUUAGGAAAAAGAUCAACAUGAGUGCACCACCUGGGAAUUGGGAAGGACAGUCUACUGCAACGCCUCCACUCUUCAAUGGGAUCUACUACUCUUGGUGGAAAAACAGAAUGAGAGACCAUAUCAUGGGUGAAGACUAUGAGCUUUGGGACAUUAUCACUGAUGGUCCUUUAACCACAACCAAGAAGACUGCUGAAGGAUUGGAUGUGCCUAAGACUAGAGCGGAUUGUACUGCUGAAGACCUAAGGAAGUUGGAGAAAAAUGCUAAAGCUAAGAAAUGGCUAGUGUGUAGACUUGGUUCUGAUGAGUACAGUAGGAUUCAAGGAUGUACAACUGCCAAGGAGAUUUGGGACACUUUACAAGUGGCUCAUGAAGGAACACCUCAGAUGAAGAGGUCAAGAGGAACUCUAUUUUAUUCUCAAUAUGAGAAUAUUACUAUGAAGGAUGCUGAAACUUUCCAAGAGAUGUAUACUAGGUUCACUACACUAACAAAUGAACUUGAGUCUCUGUUCAAGAGGAACUCUACUGUAUUGUCAAUAUGAGAAUUUUACUAUGAAUGAUGGUGAAACUAUCCAAGAGAUGUAUACUAGGUUCACUACACUGAUAAAUGAACUUGAGUCUCUUGGAAGGGUUAUUCUGGAAGUAGACAAGGAAAGAAGAUUCUAACUAGAGUUUUGCCAAUCUCUUAGGAAAGCAAAAUCACUUCCAUUCAGGAAAACAAAAAUAUUGCUACUCUGAAAUUCGAUGAACUGAUUGGAAAUUUGACUGCUUAUGAAUUGAGAAGGCAAAAUAUGAAGAUGGAUGCUCCAAAGAAAGAAAGAAGUCUGGCUCUCAGAAGUGAUAACCAGAGACUUCAAGAAAUAUCUUAUGAGAGGCAAGGGUUCUUCAAGAGGAUCAACAUNNNNNNNNNNNNNNNNNNNNNNNNNNNNNNNNNNNNNNNNNNNNNNNNNNNNNNNNNNNNNNNNNNNNNNNNNNNNNNNNNNNNNNNNNNNNNNNNNNNNNNNNNNNNNNNNNNNNNNNNNNNNNNNNNNNNNNNNNNNNNNNNNNNNNNNNNNNNNNNNNNNNNNNNNNNNNNNNNNNNNNNNNNNNNNNNUUCAACCAAGGAGAAACAAAGGUACUACCAAAGCCAUGGUUGCUGCAUGGGGAGAUACGUCAGAUGAAGACUCAGAAAAUGAAGCUGAAGAUGAGCAAGACCUUAUGGACAUCGGAGAAUCACAAGAUGAACAGGAGGUAAGUAUUCUACAUCUUAAAGAAAAGAUUAAAUUCUCGUCUAAUGAAAAAUUGGCUGAGCUCUUGAUGUACUUCAUAGAUGAGUCUGAAAUAAUAGACAGUAAGAAAGAUGUUCUAUCGAGGGAUUGUGCAAUACUAGAAGAAAAAUGCAAAAGGCUAGAAUCUAGGGCUAAUGAGAGUAAUAACUUAAAUACUGAGUUGAAAAACCAGGUUCUUCAACUGGAAAACAGUGUCCUAGAACUCAAGUUUGAAAACUUAAAAUUGAAAAUAGGGACAGGAAAGAAAAAGGCUGAUCAAUCAUUUCUCACACUAGAAGAAAAUUUAGGAAAAAAUGAAAGAUGAUUUGUACAAGAAAGAUGAAUCAAUCAAGGUCCUUAAAGAAGAACUAGGAAAGGUGAAGCAUGAACUAGACACAACAUGCAAAUGGAACAAGGCUUCUAACGCACUCUCCCGGCUGCAAGAGCAUCACAACAGCAAUAAGAGCGGACUUGGGUUUGGGACACAAGCUCCAAAAUGGGAUCCCAAAAACAAGUAUAUCACUCUUCCUGAGAAUAAGAUCUGUACAGAUUGUGGUAAGACUGGCCAUUACAAAAAUGAAUGCAAUGCAAAAGAAAAGGCCAGUCAAAAGAACAAAACUUUCGUUCAAGAAAAGCACAAACUGCCUGGCUGGGCAAAGAAAAAUUUAAUUCAUCAUUUUUCCCAUAUAAAGGGACCCAAACUAGUUUGGGUUCCUAAGACUAACCCCUGAUUUCAUUUUGCAGGUCCAAGUGAAAGGAAGUAGCCAAAUUUGGUACNNNNNNNNNNNNNNNNNNNNNNNNNNNNNNNNNNNNNNNNNNNNNNNNNNNNNNNNNNNNNNNNNNNNNNNNNNNNNNNNNNNNNNNNUCAAAACAUAUGACUGGUAACAAGGACCAGUUUCUUUCACUUGAGAACCUAAAAGGAGGCAAUGUCUCCUUUGGAAAUGGGAAAAAAGGUGAGAUCACUGGGGUUGGAAAGGUAGGAAAGACAGACUCUCUUUCCAUUGAGAAUGUCUUUUUGAUAGAUGGCUUGAAAUAUAGCUCGAUAAGUGUGUCACAACUGUUUGACAGAGGUAAUCUUGCGGCCUUCACUUCCUUAAAAUGUUUUGUGAUUAGCCUUACUAUUGUCACGAUUAUUUUGCAGGGAAGAAGAGUUAACAAUAUUUACAUUGUAGAUUUGUCGACUCUUUCUGAAAAUAAUCUCACUUGACUGAGUGUGUUAAUUAAUGAUCCCCCCUUUGUCACAAAAGACUUGGUCAUGCUAGUCUAAAUCAAUUAAAAAAAUUGGUUUCCAAGGACUUGGUGAUAGGGUUACCUAAUAUCAAGUUCAAGGAAGACAAAGUUUGUAAGGCANNNNNNNNNNNNNNNNNNNNNNNNNNNNNNNNNNNNNNNNNNNNNNNNNNNNNNNNNNNNNNNNNNNNNNNNNNNNNNNNNNNNNNNNNNNNNNNNNNNNNNNNNNNNNNNNNNNNNNNNNNNNNNNNNNNNNNNNNNNNNNNNNNNNNNNNNNNNNNNNNNNNNNNNNNNNNNNNNNNNNNNNNNNNNNNNNNNNNNNNNNNNNNNCUGUUGAUGAUUAUUCUAGAUUUACCUGGGUGCUAUUUCUAACUUCUAAAGAUGAAGCAUUUGAAAUGUUCACAGCUUUUGUUAGAAAAAUCUAGAAAUAGUUAGGAAAUCAACUUGCAUCCAUUAGGUCUGAUCAUGGAACUGAAUUUGAAAAUGCAAAAUUUGCUGAAUGUUGUGAUGAAAAUGGAAUAAAUAAUAAUUUCUCUGCCCCUAGGACUCCUCAUCAAAAUGGGGUAGUUGAAAGGAAGAACAUGACCCUUGAGGAUAUGGCAAGGACCAUGUUACUUNNNNNNNNNNNNNNNNNNNNNNNNNNNNNNNNNNNNNNNNNNNNNNNNNNNNNNNNNNNNNNNNNNNNNNNNNNNNNNNNNNNNNNNNNNNNNNNNNNNNNNNNNNNNNNNNNNNNNNNNNNNNNNNNNNNNNNGCUAUAUAAUUAAUAGAUGCAUGACCAGACCUCUUAUAGAGAAAACUCCCUAUGAGUUACUUAAAGGGAGAAAACCAAACAUAUACCAUCUUAGGGCUUUUGGUUGCAAGUGCUAUGUGCAUAAUAAUGGCAGACUCCCUAGGCAAGUUUGAUCCUAGAAGUGAUGAGGGAGUAUUCUUGGGAUAUUCUUCACAUAAUAAAGCAUAUAAAGUGUUUAACAAAAGAACUCUAUGUGAGUGUACAUGUUGUGUUUGAUGAAUCUAACACUCUUUCUGAGAAACGGGAACAUGAAGAUGAAGACAUUGGACUUGUGAGACAACUGACUGAAGUUACAGCACAAGUCAAGGUGGCAUCCAAGGAAGGAGCAGGUCAUGGAAGAGGUCCUUUCACCCUGGACAACCUGACGGGGGAAACCAAUCUGAGAGAAAACUUUCAAAAUUCUCCGAAGGAUCCUGUACCUUAACAUGUUCCUCUGCAACAUAGUAAUGAAGAAGAAGCUAGCAAAAACCAGCUGGUGGGGAAAUCUUACAGGUACCUGAGUUCUCACCCCGUUGAGAACAUAAUCAAUUAUCCCACAUCUGGAGUCAAGAAUAGAUCACAACUGAAGAACAUGUAUGCAUUUGAUAUCUUUUUGUCCCUGAUUGAACCUAGGAUUGUGAGUGAAGCUCUACAAGAUGCGGAUUAGAUCAAUGCUAUGCAAGAAGAACUCAAUCAGUUUGAAAGAAGCCAAGUCUGGCGCUUGGUUCCAAGACCUAAGGACAGGUCAGUCAUCGGGUCAAAAUGGGUCUUCAGAAACAAGCUGGAUGAAGCUGGAACAGUUACAAGAAAUAAGGCAAGGUUGGUGGUUCAAGGUUAUAGUCAAGAGGAAGGCAUNNNNNNNNNNNNNNNNNNNNNNNNNNNNNNNNNNNNNNNNNNNNNNNNNNNNNNNNNNNNNNNNNNNNNUCAAGAGGAAGGCAUCGAUUAUGAUGAGACUUUUGCUCCAGUUGCUAGACUUGAAGCAAUUAGACUUCUCAUAGCCUUUGCAGCACAUAUGGAAUUCAGUCUUCAUCAAAUGGAUGUGAAAAGUGCCUUCCUAUAUGAUUAUCUCAAAGAAGAAGUGUUUUUUAAGCAAUUUCCUAGAUUCAAAAGCAAAGAAUGUCCUGACCAUGUAUAUAAUCUGGAUAAGGCUCUUUAUGGUAUCAAGCAAGCUCCAAGAUCUUGGUAUGAAAGAUUGUCAUAAUUCUUUCUGGAGCAUGGGUACAAAAGAGGUAAAAUUGAUAGUACCUUGUUCCUAAGGAAAAAAGGUAAAGACCUUCUUGUUGUACAAAUUUAUGUCUAUGACAUAAUUUUUGGGGAAACUACAUAGAGGUUGAGCAAGGACAUUGCAAAUCUAAUGGGUAGUGAAUUUGAAAUGAGUAUGAUAGGAGAACUCAAUUUCUUCUUAGGUUUGCAAAUCAAACAAAGUCCAAACGGUACCAUGAUUCAUCAGCAGAAGUACACAAAAGAACUAAUCAAGAAAUUUANNNNNNNNNNNNNNNNNNNNNNNNNNNNNNNNNNNNNNNNNNNNNNNNNNNNNNNNNNNNNNNNNNNNNNNNNNNNNNNNNNNNNNNNNNNNNNNNNNNNNNNNNNNNNNNNNNNNNNNNNNNNNNNCCUGGUUCAUCAGUUGAUCAAAUGUUGUACAGAGGUAUUAUUGGUUCACUUUUGUAUCUUACUGCCAGCAGACCUGACAUUGUUUUCAGUGUAGGAGUUUGUGCUCGUUUCCAAGAAAAUCCAAAGGAGUCACACUUGACUGCAGUCAAAAGAAUAUUAAGAUACCUAAAAGUCACAACUGAUCUGUGCUUGUGGUAUCCCAAAGGUAGCAAUUUUAACAUAAGUAUAUAUGUUGAUGCUGAUUAUGCGUGUUAUAUAGUGGAUAGGAAGAGUACUUCAGGUAUGGCACACUUCCUAGGAUCUUGUCUUGUAUCCCAAAAGGUAGUAAUUUUGACUUAAUUGGAUAUGUUGAUGCUGAUUAUGUAGGUUACAUAGUAGAUAGGAAGAGUACUUCACGUAUGGUACACUUCCUAGGAUCUUGUCUUGUAUCACGGGCUACCAAAAAGUAGAAUUUAGUGGCCCUCUCUACUGCUGAAGCUGAGUAUGUCGAUGCUGCUUCAUGUUGUGCUCAGUUGCUUUGGAUCAAGCAAUAUUUGGUAGAUUUUGGAAUUGAAGUGGGAUGCAUACCUAUAUUUUGUGAUAACACUAAUGCAAUCGGUAUGACAAAGAACCAUGUUUAUCAUAAAAGGACUAACCACAUAGAUGUUAGACAUCGCUUUUUAAGGGACAACUAUGAAAAGGGGCUAAUCUCCAUAGAAUUCUGUGGCACUGAUAAACAAAUAGCUGACAUCUUCACCAAGGCACUAAGUAGAGAAAACUUUUAGAGGAACAUGCUGGAAUUAGGAAUGAUUAAGAUCACCUAAGAGGUCAUGUUCAGAAUGCACAAUGAAAAAAAAAUUAAAAAAAUUACUAAUUUCUACUCAGUCUCAUACUAUAAAUAGUAUACUCAUGUGACAUGUGUUUAUGUGACUCACUCGUCUCAUACAAAUUCUCUAUUCUGACAUUUGAGGCAUAAUCAAGAGAAGCUUCAUUUGAAGAACCUGAUUCAUCAACGCAUGCUCAUGAGAAAGGUCAGGUAUGUUUCUAUACUUUGCACAAAUAGAAAAAUUUAAUUUUNNNNNNNNNNNNNNNNNNNNNNNNNNNNNNNNNNNNNNNNNNNNNNNNNNNNNNNNNNNNNNNNNNNNNNNNNNNNNNNNNNNNNNNUGGUUCAAAGGCUCUUGUCAUUCCCUUCAAAAAUUCUAUAAGUUGGGUCUAAUUGAACCAAUUUCAUUGAAUUUAGAAUUCUAAGUGUAAGGGAACUCUAUCUCUUAAACCUUAGCAAUUCUAAUUAAUCCUAAUAAAUAACUAGGGAGACCGAAACUAAAAGUUGAUUAGGCCUCUGCUAACACUUAAAAAGCUGUCGUUCCUAGAGCUAUAAUGACCACUCUUUAAAAACCCAGUAAUCAUUCUUAACCAUCAUCUCAAAACCCUGAUCAUCCACUCUCUUCUCCAAACUCUCAAAAAUUGUCCAAAAUUUACUCAAGUCUUACAGAAAUUCUUCACCAAAAAUGUCGAAUCCCCAAGAUAAUCUUGGAACCCCACCAACACUGUUAGCUAACACCACCUCAUCAUCCACACCUCUUAGUGAGACCCCAAAGUCUAGAUUUCAUCACACAAAAAUGAUAGCAAGAAAAGCUGUUGCGACGGGUCCCUUGAGGAAAGCUCAAAACAAAAGAUUGAAAGCAAGUCAAAAGAAAGAAUCUCUAGCAAAAGAAAUGGAUUCCAGUUCUGAGUCUGAUGAUUACAUCUUUGCCAGUGAAGGAGAUGAAACUGGGCCUUCUGACAAUUUCACUCAACAAGAAACCCCAAAAGAGGUAAAUCCAAGUGUUGAUUCUGAUGACUUAGGGGAACGAGUAGGAAAUAGGUAUGUUUUGAUAGGGGCUGCUAACGAUGUUUGUAUGGGUGAUUUUGUGAAAUUGAAGAAAAAUAAGAGGAAGAAGGCGCUAGAUAUAUGUGGGAGUGGGGAAGAAGGGGCCUUGAAUUCAGGGGAAGUGAGUCUGGAGAGGCUGCUGAAGGAUUAGUGGGUUUGAGCAAACAAUUUGUUGAACCUGGUCUAUAUGUGGAGGAAACUCUAUCCGAGAUGAUAAAGAAGGUUGGGGUUAGUUAUGAUCCCAAGAAAUGCAAGGCUUCCUCACAAAGGACCCUUGUUGCGUCAAAUCCAACCAAGAAAUCCAAACCCUCAACACCAAAGUCUGCUCCUAGGCUUAGGACAACUAGAAUCAAGGUUAGAGAGAGUGAAGUUGAGUUGCAGAAAGCUUUAGAGGAGAGUAAGAGAAAAAAAAAGAAAAAGGGAAAGGGAAGAUAGGUGAGAGUUCAAAAGUUUCUGCUGAAGAGGAUGAAGAGGAGAUGGAACUGGUCCAUCAAGAAAGAAAUACUACUGUGCAGGUUCCACUUGCAAAACCAAAGAAGACUAGGACUUCGUCAAAGAAGCCCUCAAAACCAGUUCCUACUGAAUUUUCUCUUGCCAAGAGAACAAGAUCAACGUCUAUGGGAAAACAAGUGAAAGCAGCCAUAAAAGAAGAAGAUGAAAGUGUGUUUGAAUAAGAACAUGAUAAGUAUGAAAACUUUGACAAAAGAAAGAAAUUGAAGGGGAGAUUGCUGAAAGACCUAGAGGAGCCAAGCAUGAUAAGGCUUGUCACAACACUGGAGGCACAAGGCUGGAAGGACAUGGUCCUUCAGAUUGAUGGAAAACUAGCAAGGAAGGAACUAGUGGAGUUCAUGGAAAAUGGAAAAGUGAAGCAUGGUCAGGUGACCAGUACAUCGAGGGGUGUCAAAGUGAAAUUCAAUGCUGAAAAAUUGGAAAAACUUCUGGGUAUUCCUUGUGAUGUAACUAGUAAAGUGAGGGGUGACAAAGUGAAAUUCAAUGCUGAAAAAUUGGGAAAUAUUCUGGGUAUUCCUUGUGAGGGGUAUGAUGAUUAUACCCUAGAGGUGGCCUUGCUUGGAUGGGUUGCUUUCUGAGCUGCAAAUAACAAGGAAUUUUUGUGACACCUACACAGCUGAAGAGGUGCCUGAGGCCAGGGCAGUCCAAAAGAGUGAAAUGAGGCCAGAGCACAAAGUGCUUUUUGAAUUUGUCAACAAAUGACUUCUACCCAGACAGGAAAGAAGGCAUACAUCUAAUUAUAUGCAUCUGGUGCUCAUGCAAUGUAUGAAUAAAGGGAAAAAGAUCAACUGUCCUGUCUUUAUGGUGAAGCUUCUUGAAAGGGUGAUAACUGGUUCAAAGGCUCUUGUCAUUCCCUAUGGUUUAAUCCUGAAAACUGUGCUUGAACGCUUAAAUGUUCCUCUGAGAAAGUGGAAAAUGGCCUCCAGCAAGGAGCACUUUGGUGUCAAGACCCUUCAAGCUUGUGACUAUCUGCUCAAUGAUGCUCCUGUUGAACCUGGUUCAUCUACCAAUACUCCUGUCAGUAGCAAGGUCAGAGCCUUGGUUCAAGAAGUUGGGACAAAGGAUGCUGAAAUUGCUAGGCUAAAUGCCAAAAUUCCUGAUUUGGAGGGAGAAAGAAAUGGGCUGAGAGCUUAACUCGCCAAAGAAAAGGAGAAAAAUGAAGGCAUGAUCCAGCAAAUGUUAAAUCUGCUACAAGCCCAACCCUCCAGCACUUCCAAGCCUUAGGUGUCAUGUCCUUAGUGCCUAGUUUAGUAACCCUUCAGUUUCCUGUUUCCAAUCUAGGAAGUUCUCGUCUGUUCUUUUGUUUUUUUUUCUCAUGGUUGGAUGUUCUAUUUUUCUUUUUGUGGACUGCGCUGUAGAAACACCUCUUUAAUCAAUGAAUGCAGCUUGUCUUGUUUUUGUUGAAUUUGUCCUAAAUAGUUAUUUUUUAAGCUGAUUUGUGAUUAACUUGACAAUGUGUUCACUUGCAGUUGCCACAGUGGCCAUGAGUAUUAAUUAACUUUGAGGAUUCACUACAUAAAUGCAACUUUUCGAUGAUGCCAAAAAAUUCUAGUGAUGUUUACGACCUAAAUCUGACCUCCUUGAUGAUAAGUUAAAAUUUUUUUAAAUAUUGAUUUUUAGCUGCGUUCAUAGGUUUCUGAUCACAUAAGCACAGAGUUUGUCAUCAUCAAAAAAGGGGAAAUUGUUGGCCCAAGUUUCAGUUGGAGUUUUGAAUAUUGACAAAUAACCCCAUGGAAGGACCUGGUCUAUCUUGUGCUACACAGUCUAAAUUAACCAGGGCACAUGUGAAGCACUUGAGGAAGAUAUGCACUAAAGAUCAUGCAUCAAUAUCUUCUGAACGUAACCGAAAAGGUUGCAUUUGGGAUAAGGAGGACAGUCUACUUAUGUGAAGAGAACUUGAUCCUAAGUUAGGAUAAGAGUUAUAGUUUGUGUUGGCUAAGGACUUAAAUGGACAACGUAUACGAAGUGGAGUUAUAAUCAAACUCUAACUACUAACUCAAUAUAUUAUUAUGUUAGUUCUCUUUUAUAGGUAAUACACACAAGCAAAAGUAAAGCAUAUUUGAGAGAAAAUAAAGCGAGUCUGUUUUGCGAGCUAUAUAUGCAAGAUACAAGUGUGUACACCUGAAGCUACAUGAACUAAGAGAGAAGAACCAGUUCCAUCGGUUUGUUUAGUUCAAUUGUAGUAGGUUUUCAAAUUGUACCUUUCAGCUUUAGUAGAGGCAAUUGUAUUAGGUACCUUGUGUCAUCAAGUUAGAGUUAACUUGAUAGUGUCGCAACAGUUGAGGCUGUGUGCCACACAAGGAUUAGAGUUUAAUCCUUAGGUUCACAAAGAGUCUUUGUAAAUGUUGUUUUGGCUCGUUGAUUUUUAGUGGAGUUUGGAAAAAUCCUUAGGUUCACAAAGAGUUUUUUCACCUUUUGAGCCAGGUGUUUUCCACGUAAAAAUAUCUGUGCCCUUUACUUUCAGUUCUUAUUAUUCCUCAAACUGAUGUAGUUAGAACACUUAGAAGUACCAGGUUCUUUUAACGUGAAAAUUAGGUACAACAAAAAUCACCCCCCCCCCCUCUUGCUUGGUAUUGACGUUCAUUAACAUCAUGUUGGUACUUGUACUCUACUCUCAUGUUGCUUCUCUAAGUUCAUUAACUCUUCUAAUAUCUCAUUGCAUGGUGUAAUGUGAUGUGAAGCUCUGAUAUCAAUUAUCCACUCCCAAGCAUAUGUAGUAGAUAGCAAUAAAACAGUACCUGCUACUAUAUUUUUAUUGCAAUCAGUUGGUAGUGGCAUGUUCAGCAAACUCAUCAGCUGUGAAUACUCGUCCUCAGUGAAGAAGUAUCCAUGCAUUUGACAUUUUACAGCUACACUAUUGACAUAAGGUCUUAAGCCUCCACCAGGUUGUGCUCUCCCUACUUGAUUGUCCAUAGUUUCCACCAAACUAACAUGUCUCGUUCCUGCUUUUGAAAUCUUGAGGAUAUCCUAUAUUUUUAUAGCAAUUCUUUUUUAAGUGCCUUGUAACCACAAUGUUCACACACCAACCUUACAGCCUUAAAUCUAAACCUUGUGUCCUUCCUCCAAGCAUUGUUAGUGGAUCCCUACGAGUGUCCACGAGGCCUAGUGAUCUCUGACUUUCUUCCUGAGUAACAAUAGCAUAAGCCUCAUUCACAAUCACAACUUGUCUUCUAGUAAUGAUGUUUCUUCUCACAUUGCCAUAGCUAUCAUUUAGGCCCAUGAGAAACUGCAGGACACUUUGUGACUUUAGUUGUUCUACAUAUGGCCUCGACUCUUCACAAUCAAAGGAAAAUAGUGGGGCAGAAACAUCCAAUUCAUCCCAUAGGUCUUUCAUUUUAUGUAGUAGCUAGUCAUAGAUUUGGGCCAUACCUCACUGUUGCAACUGCAGUUCAAGGUCUGAUAUAUUAAAACUGUCUUGAAAAUCAUUCCAGACUUGCUUGCAUAUGAUGCAUACACAAUACUUGGCAUCAACUCAGUCGAAUCUGUACUCCCAAUUCAAGAAAAUACUACUGCUUUAUAUUUUUCCCAUCGUUUUGUUAGUUCACCUCUGUAUCUACUUUUCAAGCAAGAUCCGUCUAUAAAUCCUAGCUUACCAUUUUCUCGUAGAGCUAAUUUUAUUUCCCUGCUUCAUAGGUGUAACAACUCGGCCGGUCAUCUUAAGAAUUUACUUGCCGAUCUCCUAUUAGAUAUUUUUUCCAAGUUUAAUUCUACUAGCUAGAUUUACCGGGAUGUUCGAUUUUGAGUUUAGGAGAGUUUUGGGAUUAGUCCCUAAAUGAGAGAUUAAGUAUUGGAAAAUUAACCGUAGUUGGAAUAGCAUGAAGAUUGCAUCGAUAUGGAAAUCCGAUAGUUUCGUUAGCUCGGUUAGGUAAUUUUGGGGUUAGGAGCAUGCUCGGAUUGUGUUUUGGAGGUCCGUAGCUAAUUUAGGCUUGAAAUACCGAAAAGUUAAAUUUUUGAAGUUUCCAGUUUGAUAGUGAAAUUUUUAUCCUAGGGAUAAAGUGGAAUUCUAGAAGUUGGAGCUGCUCCGUAGUGUUUCAUGUGAUGUGUGUGCAAAAUUUCAGGGCAUUCAGACGAGGUUUGAUUGACUUUUUGAUCGAAUGUGUGUUUUUAGAGUUUCUAGAAUUCUUAAGCUUGAAUCAAAUGAAAAAAGGUGUUUUGAUAUUGUUUUUAGCAUUAUGAAGGUUGUAUCAAGUUUGAAUGAUAUUUUAGGAUUGGUUGGCAGGUUUGUUUGAGCUGUCGGGGGGCCUCGGGUGUGUUUCGAAUGCUCAACGGGUUAUUUUGGAACUUGUAAAAUUGCAGAAACAAUUUGGUAUCUGGUUUCUUUCAUCGCGUUCGCGACCUUUCCUCCAGGUUCAGUAGUGUAUUUUUGGAGGGGAUCUAAUUUGUUCUUCGCGAUUUCAUGACUUGGUUCGCGAUCACGAAAGUAUGUCCCUUCCUCCUUCCUGUUCGCUUUUCCUCCUUCGCGUUCACAUAGUAGAAACAUGAGUUGGUGGCUCAGUGGUCUUUUUUCCUUCGCGUUUGUAUGGCCUUGUCCACGAACACGUAAGACGCCCAUUUUCCUUCUUCGCAAUCGCAUUACCCAUCUCGCAUUCGCGUAGCCCAGUUCAGGAGCCAUCAAAUUUUACUCUUCGCGAUCUCAAGUCCCCUUUCGUGAUCGCGAUGUGCAAAAUACCUGGGGAUAUUUCUUAAAAUCCCAAUUCAAGGGUUUAAGACUAUUUUUACAUUUUCGAAUUUGAGAGCUCGGAAGGGGCUAUUUUUGAAGACAUUGCACCAAGGUAACUUGGGUAAGUGAUCUCUACCUAACUUUGACCAAUUUCCAUGUUUCCUAACUUAAAUCUAGCCUUUAAAUUUUGAAUAUUGGUGGAAAUUUUGGAAAACAUUGGAUAAACUUCAUAUGCCGAAUUAUUGGGGUUUGAUUGGGGUUUUGGCAUCUGAUUUGAGAGAUUCUUAUAUGGUUAGGCUCGUGAGUGAAUGAUUGUCCGAAAUAUAUUAUUUUUACCCAAUUCCGAGAUGUGGACUCGAGGGGCAUUUUGGUUAUUUUAUAUAAUUUUGCGUAUUAGCUUAGAAUUUAAAUGUAGAAUUCAUUACUUGAAGUGUUAUUUAUAUUAUGUAAAUGAAUUGAAUAGAUUCGGGACAUUUGGAGUCGAGUACUCUUGGCAAAGACGUGGUGUCGGGUUGAUUUUGAGCUGGUUCGAGGUAAGUGACUUGUCUAACCUUGUGUGGGGACCUUCCCCUUAGGAUAUGAUAUAUUUGAUAAGUGAAUUGCCUUGUACAUGAGGUGAUGAGUGUGUACGUGAGCUAAUUGUUGAAAAUCCGGUUUUUCUUUAAGUAUUUAAACUAAGUUCCUUUCUUUCCUAUUUUAUUCUACUUGCAAACUUAGCCUGUUGUUAGUUAGAAAAGCAUACUUAGUUGACUUACUUGCCUAUUUGCUUAGACUACCUUAAUUGCAUUACGUGAAACAUGUUAGGCUAGAAUUAACUAUUUAAUUAGUAUGAAACUGCACUUAGUUCAGUAUUCUUGUGUUAUUGCUGUGUAUUUUCAAUUAGGACUACGGGACGGCAUCCCGAGAGAUUCCCUACACGAAAAUAUGAUUUGGACUGAGGUUGCGGGAUACUAAGAGAUCCCUUGCACGUAUAUUCUGGAUACUGAGAGAUCCACGUGAUAUCAAGAGAUCCCUAGAAUAUAUUGAGGAUACCAAGAGAUCCCUAAUAUAUAUAUUGAGGAUACCAAGAGAUCCUCGGGAUACUAAGAGAUCCCUGGUUAUUAUCCUUGUUGUGAGUGGUACUCCUUGUGGUUUGCCUUUAUUUCUGUUUCCAUUAUCCCACUCUUAUUACCUGUAUAGACUCUUACUGUAGAUUCUCAAUUAUAUUGUUCAUCUUAUCCUGUAAUUUUAAUAUUUUUUAAUCUCAGCAGGGCCUUGACCUUCUUUGUCACUACCCGACUGAGGUUAGGCUUGGAACUUACUAAGAACCAUUGUGGUGUACUCAUGCCCUUUCUGCGCAUGUUUUUAAUGUGCAGAUAUAGGUACCUCUACCCAGGCUUAUCACCCUUGAAGCAGGAAGAUCUUUCGUAGACUUCGAGGUACAUCUACCGCGUCCGUAGACCAAUGAGUCUCCAUAUUUAUUCUAUCUAGUUGUGUUAGCCUUUCUAUCUUACUGUUGAUGUAGAGAUUCUAAGUUGGAGCAAUUUACUAUAUUUCUUUUAGCUUGUGUUCUCGUGAGUUUCCGGGUUUUGGGAAUGUGUUGUAGGAUUUUGAGAUGUUGUGUUGUAUAUGCCGAGCGGCAUUUUAUAUAUCGCUCUCCUUUGGUUAUUCUUGGGUUUUGAUUUACAUAUCCGCAAGUUUUCUAUUUAUUUUUUUUGCACUUGUUAUGCUUACUUAGUCGUAGAGACUAGGUGCAAUCACGACAAUUCACAGAGGGCAAACUGGGGUCGUGACAAUUGUGAGCACGUGAUUUUUUCCCUAUAUUAAUUACUCCCAGAAAUUCAAAACAAAAUAAUUCAUUUCUGUGUUUACCAUUUUGGGGAUUUUUUUGGCAUUUUAUGUUAAUCGUUAUUUAUGCAUUUUAAUUAGUGAAAAAUACAAAAAUACUUUACAUUUGCAUUUAGGAUUUAAUUUCAUAUUUUAGGAUUAAUUAGUAGUUAAGUUACUAUAAAAAUAAAGAAAAAAAUAAUUCUUUACAUUUUUAUUUUAAAUUUGCCUUAGUUUGCUUUUAAAUUAGGUAUUAGUUUAUUUAGGAAUUAAUUAGUAUACUUUUAGAGUUAGUUUGGGUUCUUACUUUUAAUCUUGCAUUUAAUAAAAUCGUGAAAAUUAAAUAAGAAGAGAGUAAAUAAAAACAAAGAAGAAAAGAGAACAAGUGAAAAAAAAAGAAGAAUUAAAAGAAAGAUUGGUCUUAGUAAAAACAACAUCCAAGUCUUGGGCCAAAUAUGCAUCAGCCCAAGUUAAAAUACCCCAAAACACCAUUCCAGACCAGGCCCAAAUACCCCAAUACCCAGUCUGUCCCAAGUAGAACCACAACGACGUCAUUUGUUCCUCUAAUCUGGGCCGUCGAGGUUGAUAUGAUCAACGGUCCUUAUAUGUCCAAACGGGACACCCCCCCCCCUCAAACCCAUCUCCCUCACUCACCCUCAUCUGAGACCAAAUCCCAAACUCUAAUGCCGCCCUAAAAAUCCUCAUCUCCUCCGGUGAUGGUGCCGGCUCCAUUCAACCCCCAAAUGAACGCCCUAGUAUCUCCUUCACUCCCACAUCCCAAAUCUUCAAACCUUUUACCUCAAACCCGUCAAGAACCCGUCGAAUCUUCAAUCAAAAGAAUCCGGCCAAAACCCAUUUUCACCCAAUCCCGUCCAAACUAACACCCUAGAACUACCUCGUUCUCCUCUUAAAAAGCCCCCAAAUCCCGUCCCUCGAAUCCCACCGAACUCCUUGAAUCUCCAAUCUAAGAUUCUGGAAAAACCCUACCUCUUCCAAAUCUCACCAAAUUCACACCAUGGGACCUCCUUACUUCCCUCAUGACGAAUCCACCGUUAGCGACAUUCGAAUCUCAUUGGAGUCGUCCAAAUUUUAAAUCUAAGAAAAUGUCCGGCCCUUAGAAGUUUGAGUUUUCUUAAGUGUUCUUAGUAUUUCUUUUUCAAUUUUAAUUAUUUAGUUGUUUUUGAUCAAUUUGAUUCUGGUUUUGUUUUUUUCUACCCUUCUGCUCUUACUUGGUUCAUCUUGGGACUUAAUAGUCAACCACUUGAAUUAAUUCAUCUCAGUCUAUUUUAGUUUAAGUUUAGGUUUUAUGUUGGAUCGAGUCGUACGACCUCGGCGUGAUAUGUGCAUGCUUAUAUUGUUUGCCUAAGAAUUUUAAAUGUUGAUACUUUCCCUUCCUGGCCAGAGAGAAAUGGAUAAAGAUAAUGAAAAGUGAAUCUUUUGAAACCCUUUUAUUAUUUAGAAGUUGUUUACCUACUUUUCGGCUUUAUAAGCUUAUUUUGCAUUAUGCAAUCCAUGAUUAUCUUAAAUUUUUACUAAAUUACCAUUGGACCACUAGUAAGCGUUGAAGUCGACCUCUCGUCUCCACUUCUUCAAGAUUAGACGUGAUACUCACUGGGUACACGUCGUUUUCGUACUCAUAUUAUACUUGUUGUGAAUUUUUGUGGCACAUGUUGAUAUGUGGAUAGUGGCUUAGUGGAAUAGCGGUGUGGUUGAUACAGAGACUUAGGUGAGCUGCAUUUGUCGAGACGACCCGCAGCCAGCAGAGUCCUCUGUAGAGUAUUGUACUGUAUUUUCAUUUCUAUCCACUUUGUAUUUCGUACAGUUUCUGUAUUUUAUUUCCUUCUUAUUAAAUGUUCAUGCACUUGUGACACGGGUUUUGGGAUUAUUAUUGGGUAUCUUGUAUUUACUUCCAAAUAUUCUUUUAUUUACAUUGUAAAGAUUAUGUUUUACUAGUAAAAAUUGAAGGAAAAUCAUAGUUUUUAGAAUUAUUAAAAACAAGAACUUAAUCAACUAUUUUGGUCAGUUGCCUGACAGCAUGUCUGGUGCCAUCAUGACCCUUAGUGGAUUUUGGGUCAUGAAAAUAUGGUAUUAUAACACUAGGUUCCCUUAGGUCUCAUGAGUGAUGAGCAAGUCUAAUAGAGUCUCGCGGAUCGGUACAAAGAUGGUUGUACAUAUCUUCGAGAGGCUACAGGACUGUUUUGAGUACCUGCCUUCUUGAUUCCUCAUUGAACGAUUUGAUUCCUUGAGGCUUCUGCCCUUGUUUCCUUCGUAUUCAAUAUUAUGCAAUGCGAACCGCUUGUUAUAAAUCGAGAAUUGAAGAAUGGUAAUGGUACUACAGAUCUGGUGCAGGAUAUUUCUCCCGAUAUAGUUGUUUGGCUAUUGUCGUUGCCUUGUGGAAGGAGUUUUCUAUCAUUUUGCCUCGAUAGUUGUGCUUCUAAGAGCUUGGAGGCUAUGCACAGGUUGCUAUGAUGCUCACUAUUGGUUAUCACAUAGUAUUGACUUUAUGGUAGGAUACUAGGCUAUGAGUUGGGGCAGUGAAUGAUUUAAAAGGAAGUCUACUCAUUGCACAAUUCAGAGAUCUUAUAUUUCAUUUUCGGCGGAGGAAAAACAAUUGGCCUAUAAAUGUCCAUAUUUAGGGUGAUGGAGUAACGAGACUUGGUAUUUUCGAGCGUGGUGGAAUUGUCAUCUGCAAUGUAGUGUCGUCAUCCUCGAUUGUAUGUGUUAAGUUUGCCGGUGUUAUGGUCUUCUGCAAUUCGCCUUUGGGGUAAGAUAUUGUGAAAUAAUAUUUUAGAAAUGACUGUUAGAUAUCGCAUGGUGCGGUGAUUCAGAAUUGUAUCGGUGUUUCUAAUAUUCACGGAUUGAGGAAGAUGAUCUUCAGAAAGGUUUAAAGUUAGUAGAGAUUUGUGGAUUCAUGUGCUACGAAGAUAGAUUUUAUUUAAGGCAACAAUUGAGCAAAAAAGGAUGAGGAAGGACAUGUGGGGAGUGUCAGGCGGUUUAAAAUUUCUAAUAGGCCAGGCAUAAGAAGCAAAGGUCGAGUAGUCAAUUAAAGGGGUGAGUUCCUCCAAAGUGGGAGAGUGGCAAAGUUGCAUAUGGGCUUUGUGGUAGGAUGACUACGCACCUUAAGGAGAGUUUGGAAUGAUUUGGGAAUUUUAGUGAUUGGUGAUUGGGGUCUACGUAUUUAAUUUGAAAUAUGGGCUAUUCUGUGGCAGGAGAUUUGGUAUAAUAGAAAUGAGCUGCUUGAAAUGAAGAAGGAUACAACAUAACUUUGAAUUGGAAGGAUGUUGCCGCAUAUUUAAUUUAUGUCCAUGUGGGGUGAAUGGACUUGUGCAGCUAGAGAGGGAGCUCGAACUCAGGAUGGGUUAUUGAUGUCGUAGUGAUUGUACCCCGUGUUUUAUUAUUAUUAUUAUUAUUAUUAUUAUUAUUAUUAUUAGCAUUGACUCAGUAGAUGUUCCUCCUAUUUUUCUGAUUUUUUUAUUAUAAAUGUUGAUUGAUUUCCGUUUUCGAUUUUGUUAGCUUAAUUUUCAUUCAUGGUUAAAUUUGUUUUAUGACCUUCUUUAGUUUAGUAUAAUUGUUCUUUCAGUUCAGCAUUACUUCUACAGGUUUAAUUGAUUUUAGGUAGUCCUGUUAAUCAUGGUUUGAUUUUAGUUACUUAGGUCUGCGUGUAGUUUAAUGAGUAAUUCUUUUAUUUCAGUUUAAUUUUGAUUAGUUUUAGGUAAUUGGAUAUAGCUAAAUAAUUCAACUCCUUGAUUAACUAUAGUUAACUUAAACUAGGGUAAAGGGGUUGGGGUUAGAAUAAUCUGGUAAAAUAAGGGUAAUAUAGGUAUCCUUACAUAGAAAAUAUUGCUCUAGUUGAAUCUAGAACACACUAGAAUCUUCUAAAAUAGAGCCUCAAUUGUAGUUUGAGGAGAUCAAGGUAAUAAAUUAAGUAGCAAGUCAAAACUUUAGGACUAAUAAUUAAAAUAUGAAAAUAAAAUAGGGUAAAGAGUGUGAGUGAAAUCUAGAAGCUUCCUCAAAUCUAGAAGCUUCCUCCCCUUCUUCUGCCUAUAAAAGGCAGCCUACAUGCCUUCUUUUCGAAGUUUUUCAGAUGAAUUCCCAAUUCCAAUCUAAGAUUUGAAUUUUAAAUUCCAAAAAUCUUCAAAAAACCAAAAUAUAUAACAGAAAACUCAAAAAAUAAAAGAGUUUGAUUCGCAUUCCUUAUAUCAAUUCCAAAUUUCAGCUCUUAUAUUCAAGUGUAUAACUCAGAUAAGGAUAGAAACAGCUUGAAAAUUCCAGGUGUUCAAUUGUUGAAACUUAGAAGUCAUCCUGGUUGUGAUUUCGAGUUAGUUUGAGGUUUGAUCGAGUCUGUUUUGGGCGAUUUCACUGGUUGAUUGUUCAUCUGUCGUGCAUCCCUGGUUCAUAGUGGUGCCAUUUUGGUUUUCGAUUGAUCCUAUUGAUGUGUUGCUGCUGGUUUACAUUUGCUGAUUGUUGAUCUUCUGCUGCUGAUUCUUUCUUCUAUCCUUUUGCCUUAACUCUAGGUACACCUCUGUAGAUCUAGAUUGUUGGAAUUGAAAUAAAAUGUCACUUAUUUGAUUCCUUGCCUAAUGUCGCUAUUGUGCUUUAACUAGAUCAUAGUUCUACUAUAUUUUCCUGUAAAACGAUCCAUGUUCAUUAAAAACUGAGAUAUGUAACUGCAUAUUAGAAAUCAGCUUGUGGUCGUUUUGUACUGGAAUUAAUUAGGACUAUUCUGGACUACGUUAAACUAUUUAGGACUAUUUUGAAUUUCAGUAGUAUUGAAACACAAUGUUCUAUGAUAGUAAAUUGCGUAAGUCUUCAUGUUUAAUUGGAUGUUAAAUAUAAUAUGUGCACUUAUAAUCUAAAUUCACACAGAUAAGUCUAUUAGGCUGGAUGUUGGAUUUAAGCUUGUUUCAGCAUGAUGAGGAAGUCACAUUUCAAUAAGGUAGGAUCCUGAAUUGGAUGUUAAGCACUUCAAUACUUGCAUGUAAAAGUCGAGCUAUAUAUUCAUCCUUUGGAACAAUUUUGAGCAUUAAACUAGCACAAUAUAGAUGUUAACAAAACAAUCUGGAACGACUGUACCAUUGUGAUCUGUGAGAUUCAAUAUUUGGUCCACGACCAGCAUUAGACUCUAUUUCAACUUAAUCCUUGAUUUCUGGGCUCAAACGCAAGGCCCAGACAGUCAUUAUUUAGCCUUAUAGCUGGAAUUCGUAUGAAAUAUCUCCCAAUCCUGGUCCUAUUCAAUAAUAAGCCAAUUGCAAAAUAAGUAGGCUAGGACUCAAAUCAAUAGGAGAUCUAGGCUCCUUCAAGAGCCCAAACGUGACUGCCUCUACUUAAAUCUGACUUGGGCCUAAUCCUACUUGAGGCCCAACACGAGGUAGCCCUAUUCCUAAAGGUUGAUGCUCUUUUCUCAAGCCUGGGUUGUGUUCAUGAGGCCCAAAUGCUAAGGGCCUAAUGUCUUUUACAAAAUUAGUGGUUCAAUUCUAUAAUGUGAAUUUGGGCUUUCGAGUUAGCUAGUGGGUUCAAAUUAAGAGGUUUUUCCCUUUUGUUUGAAUCUUUACUUCAACUUGAACCCGAAUAUCAUAAUGCCGAAUGGACUAGACCCUUUUAGAGACAAAUUAAAUAGAAAAUCGUAGUUUACUUUAGGUUGGCCUGUAAAUAAUAAAUGAGGUGCGCCCCUCCAGAAAAAAGUUGCACAAAUUGCGGGGCCUGCUUUAAAUGUUCCUAUAAAAAUACUUAGAAUUCAGGAUGUGUCAUUUAGCGAAUUUCACGGCCUCCCGCAAAGUUAAUAAUACGUUAUUCGCUUUAGGCUAAUUUUUUAGAAUUUUACCUUCCUAAAUACGGUUGUACAUUUCGUGCGACCCAAAUCCAAAUCCCAAAACGUUGAAUAAGAAUGUGUCGAGGAUCCGGAUGCAUUUCAUUUGCGUGAUCCUAAAACACGUUUUUAAACUACGUUAAAUUUCCUAGAAAUCUUUAACUAAAAGAGGUAAAUAAUUUUAAAAAACUGCACUAUACGGUAACAUGUUUUAAAAUUAGUUUUUUGCCUUUUAUAAUAGUUUAAGCGACCGUGCUAGAACCACGGGAUCUGGGGGUGCCUAACACCUUCACUCGGGUCAACAGAAUUCCUAGUGUAGAAUUUCUGGUUCACAGACUCCAAUUGGGAAGUCGAGAAUUUUCCUCGAUUUGGGAUUCAAAAUAAACCGGUGACUUGGGACACCAAAACCAAAUCUACCCCAAGUGGCGACUCUAAUUCAAUAAAUAAUUCCGAUUCGAAUAGUAUCACUUAAAAUGGAAAAACUCCCUUAUACAUUAUCCUUCGAGGUAGGUGUUUAAAAAGGAGGUGUGACAGCUCUAGCGACUCUGCUGGGGACACAAACCCAGAACUUCGGUUCAGGGUUUAAGAAUUCGAGCUUAGUAUAAUUGUUAUAUUUGGCUUUAUCCGAUUUUCCUACAUAUUCCACGCUAUACGUGCUAAAUGUUUUACCGCUUUGAGAUUUGUUGAAUUGUAUAUAUAAACUAUUACGUAUCAUUUCCCCUCUCCGAGUCUUCUACAUCAUGGAGAAGGGUGCACUUCAUGUAGCUUCUCUUCUAUUUAGAGUCUUUUACCAUUUAGAACAAGGUUCGGAUAAGUUGCUAAGCCUGCAGAGCUUCUGUAUCCUUGGUACCUUGCCCUCCCCCCAGCUCGAGUUGUCCGCUCGGGUAAGCUAGGUUUAUAACAAUAAACCCAGGGCUUAAACUUAGUAUAACAAAGCCUCAUGCCGGAUCCCUAGUAGGAACGUUUGUUCGCAUCAUGUGCAAUUUGACGUGCUAAAUGUUUACCGUUUUGAUAUUUGUUGAAUUGUAUGUAUAAAUUGUUACGAAUCCCUUCCUCUCUCUGAGUUUUCUACGUCAUGGAGAAGGGUGCACUUCGUGUAUCUUCUCUUCAUUUUAGAGUCUUUUCCCAUUUAGAACGAGGUUCAGAUAAGUUGCUAAGCCGGCGGAGCUUCUGUAUCCCUGGUACGCUGCCCCUCCACCCCUCCCCCCUGACUCGAGUUGUCCGCUCGGGUAAGCCAGGUCUAGAACAAUAAACUCAGGGCUUAAACCUAGUAUUACAAAGCCUCAUGUUGGAUCUCUAGUAGAAAUGUUUGUUUGCAUCAUGUGCAUUUUGAUUAGGGGACUCAACACAGGGGUUAGGUCCGUCUAGGACUUGUAACCAUAAAUGAACGACCAUAUUGAUGCAUCUUACGUGCUACUUGCGCAUCUAUUUUCUCGGCUCUGCAUGUUGAGCAGCUUGUGUAUAAUGAGGGAAAAUUGAGAAAACUAGCAGUGUUAGGGCUAAGUGAUGGUAACCACUUAUUUUGAAAAACCAAUGCCCAAAUAGUACCGAAAUGUUGACAGAUUUUUGAAAAAAUGAAUAAAAAAGGAAAAUAUUUGAAAAAAAGAAACAUUGUUGUUCAAAAAUUAUAUAUUUGAUUUUGGAAAAUUGCCCGAACUACGCUGGUUUGAUUCUCACGGAAUAUGAGAUAUGUAGGCAACCCUCAUCGGGUCCAACCUCCCUUUUGCAAAAAUAGCCAAAAAGUGUAAAAAUUUUAAUUUUCGUCAUAUAUAAGUCGGGUGAUGCCAUUCUGGUCAAAAUAAGCUAAAUGUCCCCAAAAGGGCGUCGGAAGAUUGUUUUUGCAAGAACAACUACCCUAAGUCAUUUUAAAAUUGUUUGCAUGCACAACCUUAAAAUCUUCCUCCCAAAAGUGCUGAAAGGCCGUAUCUGCAAAAGUAAGUCCUUGUUUUCCUAAAUGAAGAAAUUUUUGCAAAAAUAACCAUUUUUCUCUUUUAGGACAAAAUAAAUCAUUAAAUCCCCUAAUAAAUGUUCAGGAUGAAUACCUCCAACAUUGAACCCUUCUCAGUCCUGAGUGAGAUCCCUUUGAAGCUCCACAUGUGGUGGAAUGAUUUGGGAAAAGGUAGCAGAGAAACCGUGGUUAAGAUUUUGGGUGGUCUUAUUGGAUUGUUGGACAUCAAACCAAGAACGAAUAUAAUUGAAGCAUUGAUACCAUUCUAGGACCCAACUCAUAAUGUAUUUUGGUUCUCGGAUUAUGAACUUACACCUAUACUAGAGGAGAUCGCGGGAUAUUCGGGUCUCAAUGGGAACUUCAGGAGUAGAUAUCCAUUGGCACCGAGAUUGGUAACCAUCCACUGAUUCUUGGAACUUUUCAGCAUUCGUUGGGACAUUCAAGAUAAGCAUCUAUCAGAAGGGAGUUGCACACUUCAUUUCUUAUACCACCGAUAUGGCAACCAGAAAGGUUUUGAUGAACCCAACACUAGUUUGACACAUGUUGGGAACAAAGAUAAAUGGGAGGCUCGGCGGGGAUUGGCAUUCAUGGUACUUUUCUGGGAAUCGUGGUCUGUCCAAGAAAAGACGAUGACAUAGAUAUGGGCCUUGUGGGAAUGUUGGAUAUCGUCGUAAAGAAGCCUACUAGAACAGUGGUUCCCUUGAUUGUGGUGGAAAUGUAUCAAGCCUUAACCAUGUGACGAGAGGGUAUGAAAUUCUUCUAGGGUUGCAAUCUGUUACUCCAGCUAUGGACACAGGAGCACCUUUAUCAUUGCACGGGGUAUAUGAACUCUGGUCUAACCGGGCUAAGUUGUAUUGCGGAGUUCAGAACCAGGGUAACAUCUAUUGAGUUCCCCGAGGGCACUGAGGCUUGGUUGUCUUUCUUGAGAUCUUUGACUGCGGAUAAAGUUAAAUGGGCUUUCUGAUGGCUUCGCGCUACUGAGGAUGUGUACACAUCGGCAAAGUUGCCUUAUAUUCUAUUGAUGGGUGUUGGAAGCAUCCAACCUUACGCUCCCUAUCGAGUCUUGAGGCAACAUGGACGAUUCCAAACAGUCCACCGUGACGAAGACCUGAGCGGACAAAUCAUUAAGUUUAGUCCAAAAGCUACAUUUCCGGAAGAUAAAGUCCGACAAAUAUGGAAUGAGUGGAGAUACCUUGAGCCAAAGACUAUAAUACAGGAUUUGGCUAUAGGCAAAGUGGAUCCCAAAUACUUGACCUAAUUUGGCAAAAGAUUUCAAAUUCUUGAGAGACCCACCAAAAUGCCACAUGUUCAACAAUUCACAGACUGGGCCUAGGUGUAGCGAGAGUGGCUAGCCAAAGAGAAGGAAUACCGAGUGAAAAUAGGGAAGAUGGAGCAACAAGUCCAAAAUCUUCAAUUUGAAAAGAGGGUGCAAGUUGUAGAUGAUGAAGGUGAUAAAAAGAAACUCUCCCAAGAGAAUGAAGCUCUCAAGGCUCAAAUUCAACAAAUUAAAAUAGCCGCCAAAAACUAAGAAAGAAGUCGGUUUGAUGAGAGCUUGAUAAAAGGGCUGAAGAAGCAAGUCAUAGAAUGCCAGGAAGAAUUCGAGAAAUCUGAAGGGAACAUGGAAAAACUUAGGGCACAUUGGGCAAAGAAGACAGAGGAAAGAGCCAAUUUGUACAAUAAAUGAAAAAAAGUUAUGAAGGAACCAUUGCUAAUAUGAAGAGAAAAAUGAACGCCUUCGAAAAUGAGGCAGCCCGGCGGGACAAAGAGUUUUAGGUUGAAAGGGAACAAUGCUAUGGGCUGAUCGCCAAAAUGGAGAAGGAAAUAAAACGGUUGCAAGACUAGCUCUUUCAAGACUCCCAGGUGUUAGAGGCUCGUAACCAGCAGAUAAGCCGACUACUUCAAGAAAAGGGCCGGAUCAGGGAAAGUAUCAGAGGAAUUGCAAAUUAUAUUGUCAUGAAAUUUCGGGCCGGCGAACGAAUGGGUCGUACCACUUUCCAUGCUAUGGUGAUGUUAUUUGUUUGUCAGGUUAUGAAUGAUCUGAGAAGUUAAAAAGGGUCUUGCACGUAGGCCCGCGGCGAUGUCGAAUGAUGCCCCGCGGGCCCCAAAAUUUGAAGCUUUAAUGUACUUCUGAUCUAGAUUUCGUCAUUGAGUCUGUAUUUAUGUUAUUAUGAGUCUAUUUUGUAAUUUUCCUCUUUUAGAAAAACAAAUAGUCUUGUAUCUUUGUAAUUGGAUUUUUAUUAAUGUAAUCGGAGUUUUACUACUGAAAAUUUGAAAAUCCCAAAAAUUGCUUCUUUAUUUUUGUAUUUAUGUGCACGAACUACGCCUGGUUUGAUUCAUUUGGGGUCAUGCAAGCUCCAUAGGAUUCGACCGUAACCAAAUAAAAAAGAGAAAAGAAAAGAGAGGAAAAACAAGAAAGAGAAUAAAAAGUUAGAGGUGAAAAACAAGAGAUAAAGAAAAACAAAAGAGAGAGAAAGAAAAACCAAAAAGAAAAUAAGAAACCAAACAAAAUAAAACAAAGGAAAAAGUGAGGAAAAGAAAAGAAGAAAGGAAACAAAACCAAACGAACUUGCAAUCAGAAAUAAGGAAAGUCGGGAUGAUGCAAGCAGUCGAGCAAAUGCAUAAUAGAAUUUGUUAAUUGCUUAGGUGCAUUAACUACCUAAACGUGCGGUUAUCAAAUCUGCUAAUGCCCCAACCAUUAACCAUAUUGUUGGUGAUAUGAGUCCAGGCGGAUAGUUAGUUGAUUGACAUUCUGGCAACCCAUUCCUACAACAGGCGAUCAAAAGACAAGCUGAAAAUGACAGGUGAAGAAUCAUAUACCAAUAUUGUGGACCCAUCAAAAGAGGUAGAGGUGGUGGAUGUUAAUACAAUGAGGGAAGAAAUGUAUAAGUUGAGGCAGAAAAUGGCCGAAAUGCAUCGGGCCUGAGCUAAGGGUCAGCCGACGCCAGUUUAUCCCGUAUCCCGUCAAUCCAGCAUAUAUCCCACCUUUGGCUCAGUCUCAGGAGCCUCCUACUGUGAAUUCAUAUCCAUUUUUCCCUUUCUACCAACAGAGCUAUGGCACCACUUCCUACCCUCCCCUAGCUCCACCACCCAAACAAAAUCCUCAUCCACCAAUCACCCCUAUCUUUGUAGCACCUCCACCUGACACACUGCAAAGAUCUUCCAGUGAGCCAGUAUUUCAAGCUCACGGCAGCCAGUAUUACCCUCCUGAGCCUACCUUUAAAGUUCCUAAGCCAUAUUCCUAUACCCCUUACUUUGAGCUCCCGGUGGAAACUGAAAAUCCACUUAAGAACCCAGAGUAGGAAGAUAUGUUUCGAAAAGUAAAAAGCCUAGAGCAAUCCUUCUGGAACAUGCAAGGAUUGGGUGGCCAAGUCAGUGUGUCCUAUAAGGAUUUGUGUCUGUUCCUGUAUGUUCAGUUACUAGAAGGGUUCAAAAUGCAUAUGUUUGAUCUGUAUGACGAGCAUGGUGACCCGGUUGCCCACCUGAGGGGAUUCUGCAGCAUAAUGAGAGAAGCAGGUGAAAAGAUAAGAGGGGCAUGUGGAAAAGAUGAGAUACCGAUGGAGUAAUUUAGCUAGAGUCUGAGUGGGUCUUCUUUGGAGUGGUAUACAUGACAGGACCAUGGUAGGUUGUAUACUUGGGAUGCCUUGGCGUAAGCGUUCGCCUGCCAUUUUCAGUACUUUCUAGAAAUUAUUCCAGAUCGCAUGUCACUAAUAUAGCUUGAGAAGAAGCUCGGGGAGAGCUUCAAGGAGUAUGGGUUCCAUUGGAGAGAACAUGAUGCGAGGUUUGACACUCCGAUGAAAGAAAGUGAGACGGUUGACUACUCUUUGCAGGCUUUGGAGCCGACUUACUUUGGUCACUUGGUAACAUCAAUUGGCAAGUCUUUUAAUGAACUUGUGAAGGUGGGAAACAUGGUCGAGGAAGGACUUAAGACCAAUAAAAUCAUGAGCUAUUCAGCAAUCAAAGCAACCACCCAGGCUAUCCAAAGCGGCACUGGGGGCGUGCUCAUGAAAAGAAGAAAGAAGAGGUUGCAACAGUGGAGUCCGGAGCGUGGUCCAGAUCUAGAGGUCCUUCACUCUACUGCAACCAACCCAGAACCCACCACAAUAAUUACUCAUACACUCCAUAUAUCCCUCCAUAACAUUAUUACCUACCACCAGAUCUAUAUUUUUCCGUCCAUCGUACUCAAACUUAUACCCAGCCUCCGGCUCACGCGCAAUGGCGUGCACCGGCUCCCCAUAAGUCAUGCCUUGCUCCACAAAACACAUAUCCACCCCCAAGAGCCUAUAGAAACCACCCGAGAACAGGUCAUCGACCAAACCCAGCCUUCAAAAAUGAGAGACUACGAAAGGAAAAAACUUUCACUCCAUUGGUAGAAUCAUACACCAGUCUUUUUCACAAAUUGAGGCAGGGAGGCCUAUUGAAUCCUAUUGAGCCCAAAAUGCCAAAUACCCUUACUAGAAUUAUGUACCAUUCAGUAAGCUAUGAGUAAUUUUGGGGGCUCCCGAACAUGAUACAGAGAAGUGUUGGAAGUUGAAGACUGAUGUGCAAGAGAUCAUUGACACUCACCGGAUUGAUGUUCAGGCCUUAGAGGCACCAAACAUUAACCAGAACUCGUUGUCGACUUGCCAUGAAGCUCAAAUGAUUGAAUUGGUACAUAAGGGAGGAGAUCCUAAGAAACCCUCGCAAACGGUAAUGAUGAUCCGUCCUAGUGAAAGCAGUCCCAAGGAAAGGUUGACCGAUGGGAAAGCGGCGGUCCAAUUGAAAGGGGUAGAUAGCAAGCCCGUACUGGUAGCUGAGAAAAGGUCAUCGAGCACUGUUGUUGUUAAACCAGAUCCGGUCAAUGUGGUGGUGCAAGGGGUAGCAAACACAUCCAUGUUGGUCAUGAAGGGAGCUCGCAUAGAGCCUGUUAUCAUAAAGCCAAUAACUCAGUUGCCAGUGGUCAACAACAAAACCAUUCCUUGGAAUUAUGAACAGGUAGUGUUGACAUAUAAGAGGAAAGAAAUCGAAGAGGAAGUUUGUGAGGCGCAAGGUAUGACUUGUUCGGGCGGUGCUUUGCCCCCGAAGAGUUAAAAAAAGCCAGGGUCCCCAAAGACAACCCGGUACUGGUCAAUAAAGCCGUGACAGAAGAGGAGGUAGAAGAAUUUUUGAAAAAGAUGAAAUCGCAGGAUUACUCUAUUGUUGAUUAGUUAAGGAAGAUAACAUCCCAAAUAUCAUUACUUUAAUUGCUUAUCCACUCAGAUGAGAAUCACAGAGCGUUGAUGAAAAUACUAAAAGAGGCUCAUGUCCUCGAUAAGAUCUUGGUGAAUUAUUUAUAGAAGAUAGCGAACAAGAUCUUUGAGGUGAAUAGAGUGACCUUCUCCGAUGAUGAGUUGCCCGUGAAGGGCAUGGAACAUAACAGAGCUCUUUAUCUGACAAUGAAGUGUGAGGAUUUUGUAGUCACCCGAGUGCUGGUUGACAAUGUGUCAAGUGCAAACAUCUGUCCUUUGUCCAUAUUGAACAAGCUGAAGGUCGAUGACGACAAAGUUCAUAGGAACAUCAUUUGUGUUCGAGGGUAUAAAGGUAGGGGUAAAGACAUAGUGGGUGAUAUAAUACUAGAAUUGACAAUCGGGUUAGUGGAGUUCACUAUGGAAUUCUAGGUAUUAGAUAUGGCAGUUUCUUAUAACCUCUUGCUGGGGUGACCAUGGAUCCACGCUGUCAAGGCUGUGCCAUCUACAUUGCAUCAAAUGGUCAAGUUCGAGUGGGACAGACAGAAGAUUGUAGUACACGGUGAAGACAAUAUGUGCGCUUUAAGUGAUGCCAUUGUGCUUUUCAUAUAAGCUGAUGAUGACAAUAGGCCAUGGGUUUGCCAAGUCUUUGACACUAUCUCAGUGGAAAAGGUCCCCGAGGGGAAAAGCAUCCAAGUUCCUAUAAUAAUAGUCGCAACUGUCACGGUGGCCUCUGAAAUGUUAAAGAAUGGUUUCAUACCAGGUAAAGGUUUGGGUGCUGAUCUCCAAGUUAUUAUGCAGCCAGUUUCUCUUCCCAAGAAUCCAGAUACUUUUGGUUUGGGGUUCAAGCCCACAACUGCAAAUGUAAGGCAGGACCGCAAAAUGAAGAAGAGAGCAUGGGUCCUUCUCAAGCCAAUCCCACGUCUGCCCAGAUCUUUCGUCAGGCCGGUUGUCAAAAAGCAAUUGUUGACAAAAGUUUCUGGGUCAUUGAUUGGUGCUGAUAGAGACUUGGAUAAAGGGUUUGAAAGGAUGUUUGCUGAGGUAAACAUGGUUGAGGCCGGGGAAGGGUCAAGCAAGGAAAAUGUGCAGUUCGUCGGAC
rnacentral:lncRNA from 1 species